rnacentral:rRNA from 1 species
CCUACGGGUGGCAGCAGUGGGGAAUAUUGGGCAAUGGGCGCAAGCCUGACCCAGCAACGCCGCGUGAAGGAAGAAGGCUUUCUGGUUGUAAACUUCUUUUGUCAGGGACGAGGCCAGUGACGGUACCUGACUAAUACGCCACGGCUACCUACGUGCCAGCAGCCGCGGUAAUACGUAGGUGGCAAGCGUUCUCCGGAUUUACUGGGUGUAAAGGGCGUGUAGGCGGGACUGCAAGUCAGAUGUGAAAACCACGGGCUCAACCGGUGGCCUGCAUUUGAAACUGUAGUUCUUGAGUACUGGAGAGGCAGACGGAAUGCCUAGUGUAGCGGUGAAAUGCGUAGAUAUUAGGAGGAACACCAGUGGCGAAGGCGGUCUGCUGGACAGCAACUGACGCUGAGGCGCGAAAGCGUGGGGAGCAAACAGGAGUAGAUACCCGGGUAGUC